AGGAGGUCACAGCAGCAUUAUUUUAUUUUGACUUUGGCCUGAUAUAAAAUGGAUUGAUUUUUAUUCAGGCAAAAUCCACUGUAUAUGGACUCGGACUCUGAUGAGCAGUCUGGUGAACCUAAGAAUCUACGUCUUUCACGCCCGCCUGAUGUGAGAGCUCCAGUAGCAUGGUCCUCACAACUGGCAAGAAAUGAAAUGAUGGCAGCAUCCGCCGGCGGCGCUGGGCCGUACCACCAGCUGCAGGUCCCACAGAGAGAGGGUAUGAUGCCAUACCUCCAGCAACACUUUUAGUACAGCCGUGGAAACAGAACUCCAUAAUGAAACUGACACAUUAGCGUGACAUAAAAUUACUCAAUAACAUAUUUUUGUUAUGACCUCCUUUGGUAGCUGACAACACAAUCUGCCCUCUCAAAGUUUUGUUGAUGCUUCCAAAUACAUAACUCUUAUCUUUGUUUUUGCAGGUACCAGUAUAUUACCAUAUGGUUCUGUGCACACCCCAUUUCGUG
rnacentral:lncRNA from 1 species